rnacentral:rRNA from 1 species
AGAGUUUGAUCCUGGCUCAGAUUGAACGCUGGCGGCGUGCCUAACACAUGCAAGUCGAGCGGUAACAGGUGUAGCAAUACAUGCUGACGAGCGGCGAACGGGUGAGUAAUGCUUUGGAAUCUUCCCAGUAGUGGGGAAUAACCAGUCGAAAGAUUGGCUAAUACCGCAUACGUCUGUAAAGGGAAAGCGGGGGAUCGUAAGACCUCGCGCUAUUGGAUGAGCCAAAGUCGGAUUAGCUAGUUGGUGGGGUAAUGGCCUACCAAGGCGACAAUCCGUAGCUGGUCUGAGAGGACGACCAGCCACACCGGAACUGAGACACGGUCCGGACUCCUACGGGAGGCAGCAGUGGGGAAUAUUGGACAAUGGGGGAAACCCUGAUCCAGCGACGCCGCGUGUGUGAAGAAGGCCUGCGGGUUGUAAAGCACUUUUAGUGGGGACAAAAAGCUACGGACUAACACUUCGUGGUCUUGAUUUAACCCAAAGAAAAAGCACCGGCUAACUCUGUGCCAGCAGCCGCGGUAAUACAGAGGGUGCGAGCGUUAAUCGGAAUUACUGGGCGUAAAGCGCGCGUAGACGGUUUUGUAAGUCAGAUGUGAAAUCCCCGGGCUCAACCUGGGAACUGCAUUUGAUACUGCAUGGCUAGAGUAUCGAAGAGGGAAGUGGAAUUUCCGGUGUAGCGGUGAAAUGCGUAGAUAUCGGAAGGAACACCAGUGGCGAAAGCGACUUCCUAGUCGAAUACUGACGUUCAUGUGCGAAAGCGUGGGGAGCAAACAGGAUUAGAUACCCUAGUAGUCC